UAUCUUAUUUACUCCUCCGCCGCAGAUGGUGAUCCAGCGCCUCCGCGCCAUGCCCUCGUCCGGCAGGCUUAAGGUCCUGGUGGCGCCGCCGCGCGUCGACAUGGCGUUCUGCGGUGCCUCGGUCACCAAGGGACGGGCCGAACGUCGCCGCCUCCGUUGCUAGUACCUCGCCCGCACCAACAUCCCAUCGCCGGCAGAGCCACAGCAACAGCUUGGGCUACAAUCAGCGGGUGGCACGUCACAAGCAGCGGCGGUCAGUAUCAAGGGGCGGGGCAAACUAGGCUUCCGCGGCAACCAGGUGGCUGGCCCACAUGUCAGUGACCCAAAAGCAGGUGCCUUUAAGGCACUGAAGCUGCGUCCCAAUCUUGUAACAUCCCCAACGUUCACAUCGUUUUCAAAUUUUCAUCCAAUUAUAGGGUACAAACAACUCUAUAAUCAGGUUAAGGUUUAGAGUGUGGUUUGUAUUUCAGAAUGAAAAGAAGGUGUGGAGAAUGUUUAAAGUAGGAACCAAAAAGGAAAAUCAUCAACCAAUAUGAUAAUCCAUGUAGCAUACGAAAAACACCAAAAGAUAAAGGGAUAAGUAUAUUUUCCGUCCCUCAACUCUUUUGAAAAUAUAGAAAUCGUCCCUUAACUCCAAAACCGGUAAAGGUUAGUCCCUCAACUUCUCAAACCGGAUAAGUUUAGUCUCUCAUACCGCUUCGGAUGGCUUCGUUGAUGAUGUGGCAUGGUUUUGACCCUGGUAUUCGGAGUUGACUGUCACCUCUUCUUCGUUCUAUUUCCCACGCAAUAGACAUUUCAUCGAAUAGUUGAUGUGCACACUCUGGCUCAUGGGCUCCUGCCACCUAUGGCCAACUUAGAUCGGGAGAUUGGAGAGCCAUGGAGAGGCGGGAGGAGAUCGUGGUGGCCGGUGGCUGCAUGGCCCUGGUCGUAGCUUGAGCCUUGAGCAGGAGGGGGACGACACCGGCUCUUUUCCUCCUCCACGCCAAUGCACGGCCCUCAUCGUAGCUUGAUCCAGCGGCAGCCUCUCGUACGUGGUGUUGCCGGACGUGGCUGCAAUCACCAUGACGGGGCUAGAGCCCGGACGCGGGUAGCUCUCCCAUCACGGUACCCGCCCACAGGCGAGGUACGCUGCGAGCCCCGUUGUUCCAAGUGGCGCCGGCGCCGGACAGGGACAGUAUCUCAAACCGGCCCGUAGGACGAAGGCGGCCGCCCCGGUCCGCGCGGGCUCCAAUCGUGAAUGCAUCUGUUACUUGUGUACUUCUAGCCGGGAACGCGUCCUUUCGGGGAGGUGCACGGCUAGCUCGAGUUCUUUCCGAGCUAGCUACCGCAGUACACGCUACACGGAGAGAGAUGCAUACGUACACAAGCAACGUAUGCUAGCUAAUCGAUUUACCCUGAAGGAAUCAAUCAACCUGGUAGUAGCUAGCUUCGACUGAUAAGAGGAAGUAGGAAAAAAAAAUGAGGAUGCAAAAUAAAUUGGACCGUGGUGUUCAGCUCAAUGCCAACGAGACGUGGUGCCAGCCAAGGACCUUAUCGGCCUCGUCGCCUCGUCAAAGCUUGAUGCGGCGAGUACGGUGACCAAGCUAGAGGUGGCGUGAACGCUGGCCAAGCUCCAGGCUGCUUCCCUCGCAGAAGCUGCCACGGCCACCAGGGUCAAAACCAUGCCACGUGAUCAACGAAACCAUAAAUGGUAUGAGGGACUAAAGUUAUCCGGUUUGAAAAAUUGAGGGACUAAGAUUUACUGGUUUUAAAGUUAAGGGACCAUUUCUAUACUAUCGAGAGAGUUGAGGGACGAAAAAUAUACUUAUCCCAAAGAUAAAUGAAGUUCUUUUAUCAUUUAUGCACAUGGCAUAAAUAACCAUAUUUUUUGAUGAUUUUUCACAGGUCAUCAUAUCUUAACAUUCUCUACUACCAUGAUCUUUUUCUCGUUUUUUUUCAAAGGUUCAGUACACAAAAGUACUUAUCAGGACUGGCUAGGUUUUUGUCUAAUGUUUAUAGUAAGUUAAGUGGUUAAUUUUAGGUUGCUUCUUAGUUUAGGUUUAAGUCGGACAACACAAAUAGUUUGAGGGCUCAACAGUUUUUUUCCCUCGAAACGUAAAAGUGAAAGUGUUCUCGAUCUCUAGCUAUGGAUUUGCUUAAUGGAUAAUUACUUUGAAUCAAAUUCUCGUGAGGCCAAGAACACAAGAACAGCUACCAAUGUUGCUAAAAUUUGCACAAAACGUUGUGUUCAAAGGACAAGAAUCAGAUUAAAAAAUUGUUGCAGCCCUCUCUGGAUCGUAGGAAUUUCAUAGGAUAUUUGGAGGAUCUUAGUGUGGCAAACUUGUGCCGGAAAUGUUCUUUAGGUUGACUUCCUACGCCGUAAUGUCGUAGAAAUUUCAACAUCUCCUGGAAUCACACUUUCCUUGUGUUCUAAUUUUGUUCUAUUGAAACCCUGCAUGUUUUUUCACACACAAAACGAAAACACUAGUUCUGCAUGUUUUUUCCGCAAAAAAGACUAUUUCUGUAAGUUUUAUGUGUUUUCCAAUAAUUGUGCCGUACGCGUAUACCUGUCAAAUUCCUACAUUUUCUUAUAUUUCUCCUGGUUACGAUCCAGAGAGGCCCCGCCUGUCCAUCUCAUUAGUCUGAACCUCCUUUUGGCGCCGCACUUUCUUCAGCCUAAGAUAGCGAGGCGACUCUAUGGCUGUAUGCACUGCAUUGACCCAAGCCAGCGUCACCGCACUUCUUCUAUGUCUUUGGUGCACCUUCCAGGGUGCAUCCUGUCAAUACGGCCUUUUCAAGCCAACUCCUUUCCCUCAGGAAAAAAUAUUUUCUGUACAGAUGUUAAUGAAUAAUAGUGAGGGCUACAGUUUGCCAAAAGAAAAAAGGUGCAUCCUGUCAAAAAGGGCCACCGGCACUUGCCUGAUGAACAGUGGCGCUCCAUAAUCUGGACGCGCUACCAAGACCAGACCAGCGGCAGAGAACUUUCCUGAAGAACGUUAAUGGUACGGUAAUAUUGGCGCGGUAUGAACGAGCGUCUCAUCAGGUCAUCAUCAUAGGAUCCAUCCAUCAAGUCUCUCUCUCUCUACCUCAAAGAAAAAAAAAAUCCAUCCAUCAAGCUCAGAUUCAAAUAAAUAUGAUGCUUAAGGGCAUCUUGACCCUCAAAUGGUCCGCAUACGUUCGGAUCGUGAAAUCCAUCUAACGUGGGCAUGUAUCGGUCCGCCGAGCGGUCUGGACAUGCUUUUUUCUGCAAUCCAAAGACAAACGUCGGGGGGUUUUUUGGGCGUCUGGACAACACCCACUUCCGUGUCUGAUUGCCCUGACCCACUAAAAACCCACCGCUCUCGCUCGUGCGCAUUCCCUCCCAACGCCAACUGCCCGCAUUCAUGCCGUUGUAGAGCGGCCGCUCCACAUUGAUGUCGGCUCAGAGCGGACAUGAUCUCUCGUUGGUUCCGCCAUUGAAGCGGUGCCGAGGGUGCCGCCCGCGACGCGUCCUCAGUAUCCGUGCAUGCGUUACUGGAUGGGACGGUCGGAUAUCUACCACGCCCGUUCAACGCCGUGUCUGUCCGUAUGCCGUUAUUAAGCAGGCUCGCCGGCCGAGAAACCCACUCUGGCGCCACGCAUUAAUGCACCUGGAUGCCUGGCCUCAGCGAGAUCCGGCUAACUCCACAACUCAAGUCGCUCGCUCCACAUCCUCCUCCCUUGUCCACACCACAUUUGCCAUGACUGCAGGCGGCAAUGCAAUGUGGGAGAGCCUAUCAACGGAUAUGAAGCACGAGGUGGCCGCCCUUGCGACCGGCUAGCAAAUCCAUCGUGCCAGGCGGAUCAAGGCCGGCAUGCCAGCCAAAUCGCCCGAGAUAUCCAACGACGAGGACAACCCCACGAUGGAGACGGGCUCCGGCGAUGCCACACCGGAGCCCGAGCACUUGCCUAUGCAUGCCGGACUCACCAUGGAGCAGGCGUAGACGCACUUCAACGCCGCCAUGGCGGAGGAGAAGCCUGUGACGGCGCCUAUGUCGGCGUUCCAACAGGCACAUGAGGAACAGGCACAGGAGGAACACCGGUACAACCUGUUCCUCCUUGAGUAGCACUGUCUGGUGGAGGGCCAAAUCAAUGGCGAGCGUGUGAGCGAGGAGGCCGUGGCGGACAUGGCCGCGGUGAACCCCAACUUCAUCAUGGAGCAGCAUGCGCUCUACAAUGCCAUCCGCGCUCAAGCCCUCGCUUGUCAGGAAGCAGCCGCCGCGGAGGCGCAGCUGCAGGUUAUCAUGGAUGAGAACAACGCUAGUUGCGCCUCCUAUGCCUCGCCGAUGAACUAUUGGGCGGGCCAGUUCGACGACGAUGGUGCCAGCGCCACCAUCUCCAUCGUGGACCUCACGUCCACCAGCGAUGGACAAGGCGCGGACCCUUUCGAGGAUGAGUAGGGCAUGAGAGACGACAGAUGGAGGACGACAAGGGCUUGGACGUUGGACGCCCCUGUAGGGUUGGUUUAGGGUCGAAUUGGUCUUUUUUUUAAAUGUUGGGAAUGUGAUGAAAAUCCGACGUGUAUAUAUGAAUGUCAUACAUUUUGUAUGAAAUCUGUCGUGUUUGUAUGAAUUUUGUCUGGUUAGUUCAAUUAGUUGCUGAAAUGUAUGCGGACGGUGUUGGAUGGCGGCCUCCAAUAUCAGUGUCCGCGGACUGGUCCUGUCCGCGGACGGAUACCGGAGGGAAUUUGCAGGUCGCCGUUAGAGAUGCCCUAAUCAAGCUUAUUUUUCAGCAGGAAAAUAGCGCACAUUUUUACUUGCUGUAAUGUUAAUAGUUAUUUAGUUCAUUCGGUUGCUGCCGGCUUACUUUUUUAGAGAAGAGGCUGGUGCCCGGCUUUAAAUUAAUGAAGCUCUUACAACCAAUAUCACAACUCAACAUAACACUGCAGAACAAAAGGAAAAGCUCCGGCAAGAUACAUGGGUGCCCAGGGGGAGCGACAAAGCUCAAAAAUAAUACAACAAGGCAUAGGAGCCCUCAAACAUGAUUGGAAGACCAAUAGUGCGAAGAAGGCCAACUCCGGAAGGAAACCAGCCGGCAAAAGAGGCUAUGCCAUUGCCAUCGCCUGUGCGUCCGACAAAAUAGCAUCAUCCUGCUCCAUCGCCGAUAGGAGCCCCCAGCUCCUCGCCCUGACUCAAAGGGCGCCGCACCGUUUGAACAAUGGAGUGCUCAGCACCCUAGAGCGCAGAUGGAAGCUGGUGCCAAGACAACAGAGGGAGGCUUUCAAGCACAACCACCUCACCGAACCUAGCUCCUCGGGAGUGCACCGACGUUGAAGCUUGGACCAACACACGAUAAAAAGAAGCUGCCAUCUAUAGAACUCACCUCAGUGAUUGGUAAGAUGGGACCUUGCCCAUGAGACGGAGCCUCCAAGGAGGAAACGACACCACAACGCCGCCAUCGUCUGGUCUGGAACAUGCCAGACACACAGACACAUGGUUUUCACCUAGAGUGCAUGGUGGAUACAGGUCACCCACGAUGACACCUCCAAGGAGAAAAACGACACAACCAGAGUGUCGCUAUCACCGGCACCGACACUGUCGGACAGAGCUUUCGCUCGGGACACGACGCCAACCACCCAGGUCCAUCAGCCAAGGCCAACCGAGGCAAUAUGCAGACAACGCCCCGACUAGGCCGGAGGCCGCGAAGAACACACCCGCAAGCCGGACGCCCCCAAGUAAUCCACCUCGCCACCCAAGCGGCCGAGGCGACACAUGAGCACCCGCACAUCGACACCUGCUGAGAUGGUGUCAUCGUGCUCACCGUCCGGAGCCGCCGCUCCUGUGACCAAGGGGAUCCACCUUCACCCACCACCCACAUGGCGAUGGGCCGCCAGCACGCAUUCGGCCGCCCCGGCUGCCGGACUGACGCAAAACCACCACUCACUGCACACCAAAGCAUGCACCUUGCACCCGCACGAAGCCAAACCCUAGAUCUAGGAUACCGGGUACCCAGAAGAAGUGGCCCAAGGACCACAGACGAUGGACGGGCCAAGCCCAAGCAUACCACCAGAUCGGAUCAGGAGCAUGCUGGAUCUGGCGUCAAGUCUUCAGCGGCGGCCGGGAACUCCCUCCAUGACCGCCGGCCACCCAGGGCAGCCGCGUCACCAGGACCCGGAGGAAGCAGCCCGCCUCCCCCCGAGACCGCCGAGGGCCACGCCGACACCAAGUAGGCCACGGCCACCCAGGCAAGGCCAUGGACAACGGGAAGGAAGGGGCUUUCCAGAUCUGGCGAGGGCCAUCGGUGCGAGUGAGCACGCGUGCUAGGGAGCAGGGGAGGGGAGAAGGAGGUGGAGGGGGCGCCCCGCUGCCGCCGGAGGCGGCGAGGGGAAGGAGCGCGCGAAAGGGGCUGGUUGGCGCGGCGGUGACGUUCGCCUAUUAAAAGUGCAACUAAUCCCUGGGUGGUUUUGGUAAUUAUUAACAACAUAUAGCUCAUUGAACUAAUAU